rnacentral:lncRNA from 1 species
GUUUAUCUAAAUAUGCUUUCAACUAGAACAUAAUUCUUUUGAUUAUCAGUUGAUGCUGCGACACAGUAGGAAUACAGAUAAUUGUCACUGUGCACAUUCUGCUAGAAAUAUAAAAUUAUUCUCUUUAGAGCCUUUGAGUAGGGUGCUGGAGCACAGACGUUAUGCAGUGCAGGCACGUGGGAUCUGUAGAGCGCUAAUUUGUUGGCUCCUGUGCCUUCCUCCCUGGGCUGUCAUCUGAGCCUCCCCAGGAGCUCGAGCCAAGCACAACUCCCCGGGAUCCUGCGGUUCCUUCAGCUGCGAGGACAGAGGAGCUCAGUCCCCGCUCUCAGAAGCUUGGGCUUCCUUCAAGGUCAGCUGGAGGUCUGCUGAUCUCUGUGGAAUUCAACGGGGCUUGAUUCCGAGGUGCCGGUUACAUGUGGGUAUGCUCCACGGACCUACCAACGUCCUGGGACCAGCGGGCAACCUACAUCAUGUCAUUUUCUUGGAAGAGUCAGAAGGGCAGGCAUGCAAAGCCCAGCUGCUUAUGGGCAAUUCAAGCUGCUGCUUCUCCUCCAUCUGCAUCCCAUUGCCUGAUGCGUGUUACCCAGGCACGAGGGAGUGUUUUAUCUGUUGUCUAGGCCUUCUAACAUCUGGGAACAAAGAAGGAAGGAAGGAAGGAAGGAAGGAAGGAAGGAAGGAAGGAAAAAAAGAAAGAAAGAAAGAAAGAAAGAAAGAAAGAAAGAAAGAAAGAAAGAAAGAAAGNNNNNNNNNNNNNNNNNNNNGAAAGAAAUAGAAAGUUCUCUUCUUGUGUCCUGAAAAUUGAGGAUUUCUCCCUAAUUUGAAGCACACACUAAUGACCCUUUUUGUUCAGUUACAUUUAGGACUUGCAAGACUUGUUAGGCAGUUAAUGAGGAUUCACGAAUUGUCAGAGCUGAGUGAGAAGCAUCAUGGAGUUUCCUGGCUCCUUUUCCUAAGAGCUAUUGUUCUCAGAGCUGCAAAUGCUCCUUGUGACUCCUGGAGGUCAAUGUGAAAAUUGUCAUCAUUUCUCUUCCUGAUACAGCAGAGUCUACUUAAUAAAAGUGAUUUGGGCAAGUGUUUCUGAAUUUCA